rnacentral:rRNA from 1 species
UGGGGAAUAUUGGACAAUGGGCGCAAGCCUGAUCCAGCCAUGCCGCGUGAGUGAUGAAGGCCCUAGGGUUGUAAAGCUCUUUCACUGGGGAAGAUAAUGACGGUAACCGGAGAAGAAGCCCCGGCUAACUUCGUGCCAGCAGCCGCGGUAAUACGAAGGGGGCUAGCGUUGUUCGGAUUUACUGGGCGUAAAGCGCACGUAGGCGGACUUUUAAGUCAGGGGUGAAAUCCCGGGGCUCAACCCCGGAACUGCCUUUGAUACUGGAAGUCUUGAGUAUGGUAGAGGUGGGUGGAAUUCCGAGUGUAGAGGUGAAAUUCGUAGAUAUUCGGAGGAACACCAGUGGCGAAGGCGGCUCACUGGACCAUUACUGACGCUGAGGUGCGAAAGCGUGGGGGGCAAACAGG